ACGAACGCUGGCGGCAGGCUUAACACAUGCAAGUCGAACGCUCCGCAAGGAGAGUGGCAGACGGGUGAGUAACGCGUGGGAAUCUACCCAUCUCUACGGAAUAACUCAGGGAAACUUGUGCUAAUACCGUAUACGCCCUUCGGGGGAAAGAUUUAUCGGAGAUGGAUGAGCCCGCGUUGGAUUAGCUAGUUGGUGGGGUAAGGGCCUACCAAGGCGACGAUCCAUAGCUGGUCUGAGAGGAUGAUCAGCCACAUUGGGACUGAGACACGGCCCAAACUCCUACGGGAGGCAGCAGUGGGGAAUAUUGGACAAUGGGCGCAAGCCUGAUCCAGCCAUGCCGCGUGAGUGAUGAAGGCCCUAGGGUUGUAAAGCUCUUUCACCGGUGAAGAUAAUGACGGUAACCGGAGAAGAAGCCCCGGCUAACUUCGU
rnacentral:rRNA from 1 species